GACAGUAGUGACCUUAGAGAAGCUGGGCUCUCCUAACCCCAGAGCUAGAAACGAAACAUAGCCACAGCUCGCACUGGGCCACCUACCUACAGGUUGAGGAGACCCAGCUGGGACAGAAAAGGUACCACGCCUAUACCCAUGGCCCUACCCGAGGGCCCAGCAGAUGGCAGCCUCCCUGAAGGGGACUCCAGUCCAUCAGCGUAGGGGAGCUCAGGGCAGCCCUCAAGGCUCUGUUGGGGGAACGCCUCAGCCAACGGGAAGUAGAUGAGAUACUCCAAGACAUUGACCUCAAUGGAGAUGGCCUGGUUGACUUUGAAGAAUUUGUUCGGAUGAUGUCUCGGUGAACCUGUGUAGCAGCUGGAGUGGACACGCCUGGAGGAUCCCAGCCUCCGAACUGCAGAGGAUCCUAUAUGUUCUUUGAAGGUCAUUGUGUUCAGGACUGUGCAUCUCCUCCCCAUACCCUGCCUGGGCACAGUGUCCUCGCCUGUCAUCACCCCAUAUUUUGUCCUGGUUCCGUAGCAAUAAAGCAGCUCCCAGCUUGUAUAUUCCACUCAUCCUGAAA
rnacentral:lncRNA from 1 species